AAUGGAAACUAAUCUCAACCUUGGAUAUGUCUCUUUGGCACAAGGUACUAAAAGAAAACUAAAAGGAAGGCCAAAAAUAGUCAAAAUUUACUCAGACACAGAUGUCUAAAACCACACAGGAUGUGUUGGUAAAUGAAAAUGGAUAUAAGCUUGUUAAUAUCUGGCUACAAUUCUGUGAAUUUCAAGGUAAAGGUAGCUAGUGUGUUCCACUGUUUUCAACAAAUGGACUUGUGUGUUCCUGCCACUUGUGUGCGGUGUAUUAGAAACAUAAUUCCUUCCUUCAUGUCUUUUAUAAUAAAGUAAGAGAAAAAAUAAAAUAAAACAAAUAAUCUCUAAACAAACAGAACAAAUGUCUAGGUAAAUAAAAAUUCAAAUUAAAAAAGUUAAAAUAGCAAUUUUGUUAUUUGGGACAUAUUUGACUAGUAGAGUCCAAAUAACGAUGGUUAGAUGGGACAAAAAUAGGAAAAUAAAAGAUCAGCAAGUCUCAAGUUAGUGAAAAUCGGAAUCACUUGCAAAGAAUUUAACUUUUUAAACUUUUUUGUUUGUUUGUUUGUUUUUCAGAAAACGCCAGGCAGAUUUUCCUUCAGUAGGUGUGGCAGUUUAUUUUGUGUCAACUUGGCUGAGUCACAGAGAGUCCAGAUAGUUGAUCAGACAUCAUUCUGCUUAUUUCUGUGAGGGUGUUUUUGGAUGGGAUUCAUAUUUAAAUAGGUGACCUUUGAGUAAGGCAGAUUUGCCUCCUCUGUAAUGUGACUGGGCCUUAUUGAGUCAGUUGGAGCCUUGAAUAGAACAAAAAGACUUGUCUUCCCUGAGUGAGAGAGAAUUCUCCAGCAAUGGCCUUCAGACUAUCUGCAGCAUUAGCUCCUCCUGAUUCUACAGACGGUGGACUUUGCAUUUGAAUUGAGCCUUCCUAGGUACCCAGUCUGUCCAUGCUCAUUUGCAGAAUUUUGACUUACCAGCCUCCAUAAUCACAUUCCUUAUUUUAUAUAUAUUUCACUUAACACGCACACACACACACACACACACACACAUGCUAAUGGUUCUGUUUCUGCUACGUGGCCACUCAAUAUCAAUCCAUUGAUUUAACACCGAGUGUCUGGGGAAGGUGGCUGACUGUUUCCCACAGCACAUGUUGUGUUCACCUGAUUAUUGAGUCUCCUCCUCAACACUGGAUGUCACUUGUGAGUAUUUACAUGGGAAUGAAUAUUUACACACGCCGCGUCCAUUCUGCAUGAUCUCUAUAUGUACCUCUUAGCUUCUCAUUCAUUUUUCUAUUUUGUUCUUUUUGAGUUUCCGACAAGUCAUCUCACCUAUUAGUUUCUGAUAAGAUGAUUUAGAUGUAUUUCUCUGAGUGCUUAUCCUUCCUGUUAGGUUCACAACCAGACAUAUUGUCCAAACUUCUGUUCAGUGGGAAGACUUACCUUCACUUCUGUCUUUCACAGUCUUCUCCUGAAUGGGACUGUAGUGUGGCAUCUAUUCCAGCUGCCGUAUUUUACAUAACCACUGAUAAACUUAUUUUUUUCAACUACUUCAGUGUAAGAUCGUACAGAACCCUCUUUUCCAUCCCCAACCCGGGUCAUAGGUAUGGUUGAGGUGGAGAUAGCAAAGGAAUGCGAACAUGUGCCAUCGGAGUCUGAGCCAUCUGCUCAUGCAGUUUACUGUGCUUCUUUGGAACUGUUCAGGCCUUGCCUCCAAAAUGGCACAAUUAUGUUUGUGAUAAAAUGCUUCUGUGCACUUCUAAACAUAGGGUUCAUUGGGUCAAAGUGGUCAAGUUGGAUCAAGUUAAUGGUGGUGAACAUAUGUCUUAUAAAAAUAUGUAGUAGGUUUACUGCCUACUUUUCACCAGGAACAGUUGGCAUGAUAGCAUCAAUGUAAUGAAUCUAUUGUGUGCAACCAGUUCUGAGGUAUAACAUAUUGGGAGCUAUAUCAAGAUGAUUUAGUUCCCUCUGGGCCAUCUUAUAACAGAGAUCAGGAGAGCUGACAUACACCUGGGCAAGGCAGCAAAGAAAUACUUGUUAUUUCUGUUUGUAAAUACAAGCCGGAAACCAUCACAGGUUCUCAGCUUUUUCCCAGUGUAUAGUCAUUCAAGAAAAUGACUGAAGUUUCCUCCGGUUUAGGUGUUGGGGAAUAAAUAUCAUAAUUACACCUGUGGCCAUGUUACAAUGUCCUUCACCAAGAGACCAAACCUACCUCCUCCCCAGUUGAGUGGUUCCUGGUCUGCGAAGAGCUUUGCCUACUAACUAUAUGGAAGUCUGGGGAUUGGGUAAGACACAAUGAAUCUCCUCUCUGAAAAUACGGGCUAAGUUUCUGGGCAACAUACAUGUAAUUUUCCUUAGCAUAUCAAGCAGCUCCUUAGUGAAAUAUCCUUUUUUGUUUGUUUUUCUUUUCUUUUCUUUUUUUUUCAUUUCCCAAAACUUAAAAUCAGCUAAUCAUUGUCACAGAUUUCUGUGGAUGAAAACUCUGAUUACUAAUCAUUCCCUCUGGCUUAUUGUGGCAACUGCAACCCCUUGACCUCUAGAAUCAAAUUAUUGCCGUUGAUAUCAGAAAGCCUGAUUCCGCUGUAGCAUCUCCCAAUACAUCUAUAGUCAACAGUGAACAGUUGCCACAGCAGGUCGUCACCAGGUUCCCUCACAAAAGCAUUCUCCAUCCCCCCAUCCUCCUAAAAAAUCGGUUCACAAAACUGACCUUGAAGAGAGGAAAUCAAAGCCUGGAGGAGGCUGUAGAAAGGAGAGAGAAGGUGGUCAAUGACUGCCUAGCCUCCUCACUGUAUAAAAGGUAGCAACUUUAAAACUGUUCCCCCACCCUCCAUCCUGGGCGCCAGACCCCUCAGUUCUACCCAAGGGCCAUCAAGUACCUUCAGAAACUUCUCUUCCCUUUACCUUCUAUGCCUGGGCCAAUUCUCUCAGUAUGGGUCUAACAGAUUUGGUGGGAUUGAAUGCUGAAAUAUUUUAGAGUAUCAAAACUUGAAGAUGUCUAAAAUUUGUAUCUUAAUGUUUUUCCCAAACUAUAGAUUUAUUCAGUGUUCUCUAUAUAGUUAGUAAUUAAGUUCUGUCAGUUUAACCCCCUGCGUAUUUCCCUAGUAAAUUCAUUACUUCCCAUUUUAAAAGCCAUCAUCUUGGCUCAAACUCCGUGUGGGCUGACAUUAUUCCUUCAUGGCAUUUAGUCUCCUUUUGCCCUCUCCCCUUGGCCCAUAUAAAACAAAAGAGUAUCUUUAAGGGUUGAGAUACUCAAUAAAUCUGAUGCCCCACAAAUCCAAAAUAGACAUAGAAAAUGUGCAUCUUUUACAAAAUUCAUAUCCUCAUGUAUGAAUUAGUUAAUAAAAGGAAGUCUCCAUUCUCUCCAGAAACGUUACAACUUCUACGCUUCUGAAAUUUAGAAUUUCCCACACCCAUACCAGAUUAUCAUUUUAAUCUUAAAUGGGCAUUUUUUUUUUCAGACAGGGUCUUGUUCUGUUACCCAGGCUGGAUGUAGAGGUGUCAUCAUAACUCACUGUACCCUCAAACUCCUGAGCUCAAGUGAUUAUAGACACAUUUUUAAUCUGAUAGGCUGCUGCAUUGUUUCACUUUAGAUUUCUUGGAUUUUCAUUGUGUUUAGACAACUUUGGAUACACUGACUGUAUAUGCAUUGUUAUGGGUUAACUAUUUGUGCCUUGUUCAUUUUCUGUUACUAAUGUAUUUAUGACUAUUCCUCUGUAUAUAUUCAUUCGUAUAUUGAUUCAUUCAAUAAGACUUUUUGAAUAUAUGUUAUGCUACAGCCACAGUUCUAACCACUGAGAAUACAUCAACAAGUAAAACAGAUAAACCCCUCUGAUUUCAUGACUUCGUGGAGCUUUCACUCCAGUGGCAGAGACAGAGACACAUGUUACCCAUUGCCCAGGAGUUCAUAUAUGUUUUAAAUCAGGUAAUAGGAAAUAUCUUAAACAGCCAUAGACAUGAGCCGAGGGAGAGGUGCCAGUGAAACAGUUGGAUAGUAUCAUUAGUAUCAUUUCUGAAGCUUGCCUGUGCUCUCUGGUUGGCAUAGGGGUCUUCAGCUUGCCUUUUCACUGAGAAUCUGCCUGUGCUGAUUCUGGAUAUACCAAUCUCAUCAUAUAAUGAAUUGCUGCUGGGAGUGCCUGAACUUAUAUUUGGUGAGUCUUACAGGUUUCUCUUUCCUUUUUUUCUUGAGAGGGAGUCUCGCUCUGUCACCCAGGCUGG
rnacentral:lncRNA from 1 species